rnacentral:rRNA from 1 species
AACGACGCUGGCGGCAUGCCUAACACAUGCAAGUCGAACGAGACCUUCGGGUCUAGUGGCGCACGGGUGCGUAACGCGUGGGAAUCUGCCCUUGGGUUCGGAAUAACUCAGAGAAAUUUGAGCUAAUACCGGAUGAUGACGUAAGUCCAAAGAUUUAUCGCCCAAGGAUGAGCCCGCGUAAGAUUAGCUUGUUGGUAGGGUAAUGGCCUACCAAGGCGACGAUCUUUAGCUGGUCUGAGAGGAUGAUCAGCCACACUGGGACUGAGACACGGCCCAGACUCCUACGGGAGGCAGCAGUAGGGAAUAUUGGACAAUGGGGGCAACCCUGAUCCAGCAAUGCCGCGUGAGUGAUGAAGGCCUUAGGGUUGUAAGGCUCUUUUACCCGAGAUGAUAAUGACAGUAUCGGGAGAAUAAGCUCCGGCUAACUCCGUG